AAAAAAAUGAUGGACAAUUUUGGUGUCUCUUGGUUGAGAAGAACAUCGAGGUAUAGUGAAAAGGCCGAGCCAUCGUUUCGUUCGUCAUCUUAUAAAUUGGCGAUUCGAUUGUUUCUCGUCCACAU